AUUGAACGCUGGCGGAAUGCUUUACACAUGCAAGUCGAACGGCAACACGGACUUCGGUCUGGUGGCGAGUGGCGAACGGGUGAGUAACAUAUCGGAACGUAUCCAAUAAUGGGGGAUAACUAAUCGAAAGGUUGGCUAAUACCGCAUACGCCCUACGGGGGAAAGCUAGGGACCUUCGGGCCUGGCGUUAAUGGAGCGGCCGAUAUCUGAUUAGCUAGUUGGUGGGGUAAAGGCCCACCAAGGCGACGAUCAGUAGCUGGUCUGAGAGGACGACCAGCCAAAAUGGAACUGAGACACGGUCCAGACUCCUACGGGAGGCAGCAGUGGGGAAUUUUGGACAAUGGGCGCAAGCCUGAUCCAGCCAUUCCGCGUGAGUGAGGAAGGCCUUCGGGUUGUAAAGCUCUUUCGCAAGGGAAGAAAACUUAGCCUCUAACAUAGGCUGAGGUUGACGGUACCUUGAUAAGAAGCACCGGCUAACUACGUGCCAGCCGCCGCAGUAA
rnacentral:rRNA from 1 species